ensembl:snoRNA
UGGGCCAGUGAUGAGGACUGGUGGUGUCUGAGUUAAGAUGAUGACUACCACAUGUCUGAGACUCUGAGGGCCAA